rnacentral:rRNA from 1 species
AAUGAACGCUGGCGGCAGGCCUAACACAUGCAAGUCGAACGGAGCCUUCGGGAUUAGUGGCGGACGGGUGAGUAACGCGUGGGAACAUACCCUUUGGUACGGAAUAGCCUCGGGAAACUGGGAGUAAUACCGGAUGUGGUCGAGAGACGAAAGAUUUAUCGCCAAAGGAUUGGCCCGCGUUGGAUUAGGUAGUGGGUGGGGUAAUGGCCUACCAAGCCGACGAUCCAUAGCUGGUUUGAGAGGAUGAUCAGACACACUGGGACUGAGACACGGCCCAGACUCCUACGGGAGGCAGCAGUGGGGAAUCUUAGACAAUGGGGGAAACCCUGAUCUAGCCAUGCCGCGUGAUCGAUGAAGGCCUUAGGGCUGUAAAGAUCUUUCAGGUGGGAAGAUAAUGACUGUACCACCAGAAGAAGCCCCGGCUAACUCCGUGCCAGCCGCCGCCGUAA